UACGUAGAGUGCAAGCGUUAAUCGGAAUUACUGGGCGUAAAGCGUGCGCAGGCGGUUUUGUAAGUCAGAUGUGAAAUCCCCGGGCUUAACCUGGGAACUGCGUUUGAAACUACAAGGCUAGAGUGUGGCAGAGGGGGGUGGAAUUCCACGUGUAGCAGUGAAAUGCGUAGAGAUGUGGAGGAACACCGAUGGCGAAGGCAGCCCCCUGGGUUAACACUGACGCUCAGGCACGAAAGCGUGGGGAGCAAACAGG
rnacentral:rRNA from 1 species